rnacentral:Y_RNA from 1 species
AUGACGAAUGCCGGGCGGAACUACAGAUUCUACAUCUCCAGGUCGCAGGUUCAAAUCCUGCCGGAGCGGACCUUUGCCGCUUCGUAGCUCAGCGGAUAGAGCGGGUGUUCCCCCAAGCCUAGUCGUCAUGAC